rnacentral:lncRNA from 1 species
GAGUAGUGAGCUUCUCAUCCUCAAAGUUCAACAACGGUUUCAUGUUUGAUGCAGGUAUCCUCCUCCUUUCUCUUGUCCGAUGAAACAAACCCCACCCGAAAAAUGCAGAAACCAACACAAUAUAUAGGAUUGCCAAUGAAAAUUCAAUGCAUUUGACCUGUAUGUGAAACCAACACACCGGAUUAAUGAAAUACAUAAAGAAAAGUGAAAUUUACAAACUAAAACACCAAAAGAUGAGUGUUUCAUGACAUCAUUCAUUUGUCGACAUUGUAAAACGUACACCAACCAAUAAACCAAUAAAUAGUCAAAAGAAAGGGAAUCAAUUCCAACCUUCACAGACCCAAGGCUAAUCGAGCAGGCAUCCUUUUGUUGUGGAGAAGGAGGUUCAUAGUCAGAACACACUGGAGAUGAAGGGCAAUCACCACAAGAGCAUCCUAGUGAAGUGUCACCACAUGAAUAAAUAGACACAUUCAUAAGCUCCAUUCCAGAUGAUUCAGGUCUUGACUU